rnacentral:rRNA from 1 species
GAUGAACGCUAGCUACAGGCUUAACACAUGCAAGUCGAGGGGAAACGAUAUUGGAAGCUUGCUUCCGAUAGGCGUCGACCGGCGCACGGGUGAGUAACGCGUAUCCAACCUGCCCACCACUUGGGGAUAACCUUGCGAAAGUAAGACUAAUACCCAAUGACGUCCAUAGAAGACAUCUGAAAUGGAUUAAAGAUUUAUCGGUGAUGGAUGGGGAUGCGUCUGAUUAGCUUGUUGGCGGGGUAACGGCCCACCAAGGCGACGAUCAGUAGGGGUUAUGAGACGAAGCACACCAACAUUGGAACUGAGACACGGUCCAAAAGCCUACGGGAGGCAGCAGUGAGGAAUAUUGGUCAAUGGGCGAGAGCCUGAACCAGCCAAGUAGCGUGCAGGUUGACGGCCCUAUGGGUUGUAAACUGCUUUUAUAAGGGAAUAAAGUGAGUCUCGUGAGGCUUUUUGCAUGUACCUUAUGAAUAAGGACCGGCUAAUUCCGUGCCAGCAGCCGCAGUAA